GACAGAAGGGAGCUUGCUCCCGGAUGUUAGCGGCGGACGGGUGAGUAACACGUGGGUAACCUGCCUGUAAGACUGGGAUAACUCCGGGAAACCGGAGCUAAUACCGGAUAGUUCCUUGAACCGCAUGGUUCAAGGAUGAAAGACGGUUUCGGCUGUCACUUACAGAUGGACCCGCGGCGCAUUAGCUAGUUGGUGGGGUAAUGGCUCACCAAGGCGACGAUGCGUAGCCGACCUGAGAGGGUGAUCGGCCACACUGGGACUGAGACACGGCCCAGACUCCUACGGGAGGCAGCAGUAGGGAAUCUUCCGCAAUGGACGAAAGUCUGACGGAGCAACGCCGCGUGAGUGAUGAAGGUUUUCGGAUCGUAAAGCUCUGUUGUUAGGGAAGAACAAGUGCGAGAGUAACUGCUCGCACCUUGACGGUACCUAACCAGAAAGCCACGGCUAACUACGUGCCAGCAGCCGCGGUAAUACGUAGGUGGCAAGCGUUGUCCGGAAUUAUUGGGCGUAAAGGGCUCGCAGGCGGUUUCUUAAGUCUGAUGUGAAAGCCCCCGGCUCAACCGGGGAGGGUCAUUGGAAACUGGGAAACUUGAGUGCAGAAGAGGAGAGUGGAAUUCCACGUGUAGCGGUGAAAUGCGUAGAGAUGUGGAGGAACACCAGUGGCGAAGGCGACUCUCUGGUCUGUAACUGACGCUGAGGAGCGAAAGCGUGGGGAGCGAACAGGAUUAGAUACCCUGGUAGUCCACGCCGUAAACGAUGAGUGCUAAGUGUUAAGGGGGUUUCCGCCCCUUAGUGCUGCAGCUAACGCAUUAAGCACUCCGCCUGGGGAGUACGGUCGCAAGACUGAAACUCAAAGGAAUUGACGGGGGCCCGCACAAGCGGUGGAGCAUGUGGUUUAAUUCGAAGCAACGCGAAGAACCUUACCAGGUCUUGACAUCCUCUGACAACCCUAGAGAUAGGGCUUUCCCUUCGGGGACAGAAUGACAGGUGGGUGCAUGGGUUGUCGUCAGCUCGUGUCGUGAGAUGUUGGGUUAAGUCCCGCAACGAGCGCAACCCUUGAUCUUAGUUGCCAGCAUUCAGUUGGGCACUCUAAGGUGACUGCCGGUGACAAACCGGAGGAAGGUGGGGAUGACGUCAAAUCAUCAUGCCCCUUAUGACCU
rnacentral:rRNA from 1 species